UGCCGCGUGUGUGAAGAAGGCCUUCGGGUUGUAAAGCACGUUUCAGUCGUGUAGGAAGGUAGUGUAGUUAAUAGCUGCAUUAUUUGACGUUAGCGACAGAAGAAGCACCGGCUAACUCCGUGCCAGCAGCCGCAGUAAUACGGAGGGUGCGAGCGUUAAUCGGAAUUACUGGGCGUAAAGCGCAUGCAGGUGGUUUGUUAAGUCAGAUGUGAAAGCCCGGGGCUCAACCUCGGAAUAGCAUUUGAAACUGGCAGACUAGAGUACUGUAGAGGGGGUAGAAUUUCAGGUGUAGCGGUGAAAAUGCGUAGAGAUCUGAAGGAAUACCGGUGGCGAAGGCGGCCCCCUCGGACAGAUACUGACACUCAGAUGCGAAAGCGUGGGGAGCAAACAGGAUUAGAUACCCUGGUAG
rnacentral:rRNA from 1 species